GAGAAGGCUCAGGGGCGACCUUAUCACUCUCUACAACACCCUGAAAGGAGGUUGUAGCCGGGUGGGGGUCAGUCUCUUCUCCCGGGCAACCAGUGACACGACAAGAGGACAGUCUUAAGCUGCAGCAGGGGAGGUUCAGGUUGGACAACAGGAGGAACUUCUUCACAUAAAGGGCGAUUAGACAUCGGAAUGGACUACCCAGGGAGGUGGUGGAGUCACUGUCCCUGGUGGAAAGGCUGGAUGUGGCACUUGGUGCCAUGGUCUAGUUGACAGGGUGGUAUUAGGUCAUAGGUUGGACUCAAGGACCUCAGAGGUCUUUUCCAACCUAAUUCCUUCUGUGAAUUUCAUACUUUGAAGGCACACAACUUGCCCCUUGGUGUCCCAGGGUCGCCUGAAGUUGCCUCAGGUUUUGAUCCUGAAGGACUGCCACAGGUGGGAAAUCCUGAAGUGGUUUAAAGGUGCGUGUUUGGGCUAUGAAGCACACCAACAGUAGCUAUAGCCACCUGACUGAUUUUCCUCUUCCAUUUCUGAUUCUGGUCAUGGUGGGUCCUGUUCUGUGGGUCUCAGGGAAGGCUUUUAGAUACUAAAACCUCACAGAUGCUACUCAUCACAAAUGUUCUGUUUUCUAUUGUCUUCCCAGCACAGCAAUCACAGAUGGAGCUGAAAUGGUGCUAGGUUACAACAGAAGAAGAAGCAGCAGCCAAGAUCAAAAUGCUCUGGUUUGUCUUGGCAGAAAAGGUAAAUUGCGCUGCGCUUCAAUAUGCUGUAGACCUGUCCUGGAGCUCAUCUGGUAGCCUAAUAAUGGCUGAAAAGUGGGAUUAAAGUUGAGUUGUUUGACCUGAGGCAUGUAAUCAUCCUGCCUGCAGUCCAACACCCAGUACCCUGAUGGUUGCACAGUUCUUUCCGUAUCAUGUGACCCAAACUGAUCCAUCAUGUGACCAAAACACAAGCAUCUUCCUUUACACAAAGGCUAACGUUUUCUGAACAUCACUACCAUUCAAGAAAGAGGCCAUGGAAUCAUUUUGACCAGUUUGAUUAAAAUAGUCACAGUUCAAAGGUAAACCACAAGGAAGGAAACCGAGAUUACACAGGAAAACACUGGUAUAGCACUCUACUUUUCUCUAUCUUGUAUUUUUCUAGGUUACAAGGAGGAGCAAAAGGAAUGAUCAAAGUUGUGAAACCUAUCCAUCUGAGGAGAUAGUAAGUGAAAAGUAAACAGACCAAGAUGUUUCUAUUUGGAGAAAGGGUAUGUGAGGGGAUACUAUGGAAGAAAUCUAUAAAAUGAUGAGGGGUGUUAGGGCAGAUAGGGAACAGUCACGUACAGCUUCUCACAAUAAGAGAACUGAAUGGAAGUCUGUAAAAUUUUUGUUUGGCAGAUUCAAAACACAAGGAAGUAAUUUUUCCCACAAUGGAGAACUGAAUGUAGAAUAUACAUAGUAUGGUAAUAAAAAUGGGAAUGGGUUAAAAAAGGAAUCAGAAUAAUCUUAGAGACAAGCCUAUUGAAGACUAUUAUGCAGCGGUCUAGAAAGAAAUCUCCAGCUUGGAAUUAUUGGGAGCUACAGGAUAUGCCCUGGAAAGAAUCAAUCUAUGUCUAAUGAGCUUUUCAUAAGCACCCACAAUUCGCCACUGUGGUGAAAAGGGAAUCGAGCUACAAAUACCUUUGGUCUGGCCAAGUACAGACUUUUUAAAUUCUACUUUCCAAACAGAGUAAAUGACUUUAUUGAGGGUUCUAAUAUCAACCACAUAAUUUGAGGUUAGCACAGGUAAAGGAUAUUUUAGAUGUUACAUCUAACUCGAUAUUGCUUUGAUUAACAGCUAUGAAAUAUCCAAAGGGCAUUAUUUUGCAUCAUUCAGGUGGCAUUGGUCUUAUGCCAUGAAUGCAACAAGCUAAUGUAUGAGACCAGAGCUCUUUCUCCUGGUAAACACCAUGCCAUAUGUUUUUAUCAGGCAUUAAUUUGGAGGAGAAUUAAUCUUGAGAAAGUUAUUAUGUUCGAGUGUCCUAGUUAUGUCAAAGUAUAGAGCUGGGGGCUUCUUCAUUUAUACAAAUAUUGCUAAACAUUUAAUUUCAGAUUCUCAGUCUGGUGGAUAAUAAAAAAUGACUACCCACCAAACUUGUAGCAUUAAAUAGAGACUUUAUUUUUGGCAGCUCAUUGGAGAGGGAUUAAUAUUACUGGAAUGGCUUUGUUUCUCAGCAAUGCCUCCUUAAGAACAGCUUCCUCUGAACAUAUAUUUCUAUUUUAUUGAGAAAAGGAAAUACGGUAUUAGAAAUCAAUGUUUUUAAAGGGUAAUUUAAAGAAAUCUAAUCUUGGCAGAUGCUGAAAUAUUUUCAAUUUAGAACAAAUAGUAUUUCUGUCAUCCAGUCAGCUUUUUAAAAUUAGACCAUUACUCCUUGAUAAGUUAAUUACAAAACAGAAAGAGACUCAACCAGUCUAAAAAAGUGUUAUUAAUGAAAGUAUAGAGCACAUCUCUAAAAGCUGCUUUUACUGAUUUAUGGGUGAAAUUUUACUUUUCAUAUGAAAAACCUUGUCUCCAAUGUCUUAAAUCAUAGGGAAAAAUGCUCAAUUUUUCACCCUAUCACAACUAAUUUUUUACACUGGUACACUGAUGGACUAUUGUUUUUCUGUGCUACCAUCCAUUAUAAAAACUGACAGCAUCAUAAUUGAAAUUAUUUAAAAUAUGGUGGAUUUAGAUAAUUCUUAUAGAAACUGAGCCACAGAGCCAACUGGUUUGGCAAUCUCUUUGGGAAACUGUCACUUAGCAGUGUGUGAUGACUGGUAAACCCACUUCAACUAAAAUCAUAUUUAGCCUCAAACAACAGGAAUAAAAUAUAAUGGAAGACGAAAAGGUUUUAAACCGUACUAAAAGUAUCAACAUACAUCUUUCUUACAACAAAUGUUGCUGUCCUAAAGUGAACAGGCAGAUUUAGCCUUUCCAGAUACUGUACAACUUCAUAGAAUUUCACACAAUUUCACAGAACUGGUCAACUGCAGAAAAAGCCUGGCCAACUGCAGAAAAAUGGCAGACAUAACAAGUCUAGGUUAUGGGAGAUGUUGUUUCUAUGAAACUGUAGAGUAUCUGAAAAGGCUAAAUCUACUUGUCCACUUCAGGACAGAAACAUUUUUAGGGUAAGAAAAUAUAUAUUACAUUACAAAUAUAUUGAACAGUACUGGCCCUAGAGCUGAAACUGGAGGAGCACUGCUGGUGACUGGUUGCCAGCCAGAUAUAGCCCUGUUCACUGCAACCCUUAAACUGUUGGACACCAGGUAAAAUCAUAAGAAAUUUAAAGGGAAAAUGUUUGCAGGAAAUUUCUGUACUUCAAAUACAGAAAAAAAAAGCAUGGGAUACAGCAACCCCCUCCAGCUUUCAGUAUAUACUGUCCAGUGGUAAAUCUAAGAACCUAGAACUUUUGAAAAACAGGUAAUUUUUUAAAUACAUGUGAAUUCUUCUUUAUACAAGGCCAUAUUACUCCUCAC